GACUAUGUUAAUUUUGCUUAUUUUCUUUGUCUGCAAACUGAGUAUAGAUAUUCAAGUGUUCUAUAGAUCAUAGGUUAUUCUUUCAUUCCAACACAGCACACAAUUUGUUCAGUGUGCCAAGCGACAAGACAACAAUGUCGUUUUUAAGGUAUGUUGCUUCUGUUUCCUUUCCCAAUUCUAGAUCAUACUCUCACUGUCUCCAACAUUUCAAUGAUGAUGCUGUUGAUGCUGUUUCCUUGUUCAAUCGAUUGCUCCAAACGAAACCCACCCCACCCGCCAUUGAAUUUGGCAAGAUUUUAGGUUCUCUUGUCAAAGCCAAACAUUAUUCCACUGUUGUUUCCCUUUCUCAAAAGAUGGAAUUGAGUAGAGUUACUCCUGAUUUUGUAACUCACAACAUCAUCAUCAAUUCUCUCUCUCAAUUAGGUCAUAUUACUUUUGCUUUUUCUGUUUUGGGGAAGAUUCUCAAGAGGGGUUAUCUCCCAGAUGCUAUAACCUUGACUGCAUUCAUCAAGGGUCUCUGUCUCAAAGGUGAACUUCAUAAAGCAUUGCAAUUUCAUGACAAGGUGGUAGCUCACGGAUUUCAUUUCAACCAAGUUAGCUAUGGGACAUUGAUCAAUGGUUUAUGUAAACUUGGAGAAACAACUGCAGCACUACAGUUGCUCAGACGAGUUGAUGGAAAGUUGGUUCAACCUAAUGUGGUAAUGUACACUACGAUUAUUGACAGCAUGUGCAAAGAUAAACUUGUUAACAAUGCAUGUGAUUUAUAUUCUGAAAUGGUUGCUAAGAGAAUUUCUCCUAAUGUUUUGACUUACACUGCUUUAAUUAGUGGCUUUUGCAUUGUUGGUAGAUUGAAAGAAGCAAUUGAUUUGUUUAAUAAAAUGACGUUGGAAAAAAUCUACCCGAAUGUGUAUACUUUUAGUAUAUUGGUUGAUGCUUUUUGUAAGGAAGGAAAGGUGAAAGAAGCACAGAAUGUGUUAGCUAUGAUGAUUAAAAAAGACAUUAAACUUAAUGUUGUUACGUAUAACUCUUUAAUGGAUGGAUAUUGUCAUGCAAAUGAAGUGAGCAAGGCCAAUGAUAUAUUCAACAUUAUGUCCAAAAGGGGAGUGAUUGCUAAUGUUUGGAGCUACAAUACCAUGAUCGUUGGAUUUUGUAAGGUUAAAAUGGUGGAUGAAGCUAUUAAUCUCUUCAAAGAAAUGCAUUGCAGAAAAAUCAUUCCCAAUACGGUAACUUACAAUUCCCUUAUUGAUGGUUUGUGCAAAUCGAGGAAAAUCUCACAUGCUUGGGAGAUUGUCGACGAGAUGCAUGAUAGAGGUCAACCCCCGGAUAUAAUUACUUAUAAUUCUUUAUUAGAUGCUUUGUGCAAAAAUCAUGAUGUUGAUAAGGCAAUUGCUUUAUUUAAAGAAUUUAAAGACAAAGGUAUUAAACCAAGUGUGUGCACAUACACUAUUCUUAUCGAUGGAUUGUGUAAAGGUGGAAGACUAAAGGACGCGCAAAAGGUUUUUGAAGAACUUUUGGUCAAGGGUUACAAUCUUGAUGUCUAUAUAUAUACUGUUAUGAUCCAUGGAUUUUGUAACAAUGGCUUGUUUGAUGAAGCGUUGACUAUGCUGUCAAAAAUGAUAGACAAUGGUUGCAUUCCGGAUGCUCGUACUUAUGAAAUCAUUAUUCUUUCCCUAUUUGAAAAUGAUGAAAAUGAUAAAGCUGAGAAACUUCUUCUUGAAAUGAUUAUGAGAGGUCUACUAUGAGACUAGUAAUAGGUAAGAUGCAUUUCUAUUUCCACAUUAUCAUUUGAAUUUAUGUUUCAACAUUAUUUCAUCUUUUCAUUAUUGUAGUUGCUUCAGCUAAUGGGAUAAAGAUACAUAUUUUUAUUAUUUGUGUGCUUAACAAAAUGAUAGAUUGGAGAGUCCAAUUUGAGGGAGAUUGGUAGAGUUUAUAUUGUUGUCUUAGAAGUGUUGGGCUGUGUUUGUACUAACCGUAUUACACCUCUAGCCAAUACCUUUAGCAAUAGAAAAUAUCUUGAUGCUUUAUAUGGAUACAAGUUUGCUUACGUAGGCCUUCAUUCGAGGCGUCUGGUUUUGAGCUGUUGCUCUAAUCUUCUUAAUGUCAUUGCGAUACUGCAAUCACAAUAGGUCCAUGGAUACAAUGUCCCUUUGAAUUCGUUUCCACCAAAAUUUAUAUUAUCACCUCAAGUAGUACUACAAUUUACAGUUCCUCUUUUUAACUGCUUUGUUGAUUCCUCAAAUGGGUACAUGUUCAGAUGCACAUCAUUUUCAUUCACAGUUUAAAAAUAAGUUUGCUUAUUUAGACCUAAGAGCAUGGCUCAUAAUAUUUAGGGGAAAGGGUUGGUUAGAGAAGUAGAACAUCAUGUGUUCUGAUUUCAGUGUUAGGUUUGGAAGCCAGAGUCUCUUUGCCUUUGAUUUUUAGCUGUUUCUAUUGUCUUUUUAAUGUCAUUGCUGUUCUGAAAUUACAAGUUCCAUCAAUACAAUGUCCUUUGAAUUAAUUUGCACUACAAUACAUGAAGCAACUGGGCUGUUUAUUUCUAUUUGGAAUCUUAACAAAUGCAAAUAAAGAUUUAGGACACAAGAAACAUUUUGGCAGAAAAAUUGUAGUAAGGUACUGCUAAUUACUAUUAGGACACCGGAAUUGCAUUAUAGAUUUAGGGAGUUUUAUAUAUGAUGAUACACAUUAUGACAAACUAAACUUUAAAAUACUUGACAAUUUAUAAGUAGAUUUUGGAUCCACAUAUUUAGUAGCAAAAGUGAGAAUAUCGCUCUGUUUACUGCAAUUGAGUAAUGCAUAAGUCAAAUUACUUCUUUCCUAUUUGUGAUUGUGUUACAUGGUUGGACUAUCAACCAUGUAACAGAUACAAUCUUUUGCAUCUGCAUGAUGUAUACUGUUUUGAACCUUGCCUCUAAGGAAGGUGGAAGAGAGAUAAUAAAAGAACAUGAAUUAUCUAUGAAGGCUAACAUACAUUCAUCACAGCUUUGGACACUAAAUAAGUUAAUAUACUAUAACUUCGUUUCCUGAACAAGGUUUAUUACAUGACAGCAGAGCGAACCAAAUCAGCACAAGCUGAUAAACAUUUUCUAGGAUUGCUCUAAUUGGUUGAGGAAGUGCAUCAAAACUUGUUACUUACUGUGAUGAUAUACAUUGCCGGUUGAGCUAUCACCUCAUGUUUGAUGGAUACUGGUGUUGUGCUGCGUGUUUGAACCUCUACUUGACCAAUCAAGGACACUUUUGUCAUAUCCCAAUUUCGUCCGGGUAAGAAAAAUAUUUCACCAGCAUUCACCACCAGAAAUUAUAAGGCAUAAACUCUAUUUUAGGGUUUCUUAGUCCUAAGCUACUCCAAACUCCCCAUCCUUCCUAAAGGCACAUUCAAUACUCACAUGAUCAUUAUAAAGAAAACCCUCAGUGACAUCAAACUUUCAACAAAUCUUUUUGUGGCAUUUCAUCUGUUAAGUUCCUUGUUCAUGACUCAAGAAAACAUCUGUUGCGUUUGUCUCUUAUAGUUGUUACUAAAGCAUGGGAUGCUACGCGCAUUUUGGGACUUGUUGGUUAUAAAAGUCCAAUUUUUGGUUUAUCCGUAAGACCUUUAGGUUUAAAAAGCCCACUCCUAUAAACAUAUUGAAAGUUCAAAGUAUGAUUCAAAUCUUUUUUUUUACACAUACUAAUCCAAGUCCACUCUCUUAUUAGCAAGUAUUAAAAGCCAUGUUAUUUUUUAUGAUCACUUGAGUAGCCCAAGUUUGCAAGUCCAUUUUCACAUCCCAAAUAUUUGUGCCAAAUUUUAAGUCCUUCAUAGGUCCUUAAAUUAAAUUUGCGUUUUUGAAGCAUGUAUGUGUUGGGUCUAAGCUAAGUCACCAUAUUUAGACUCAUGUGUCAAGAUCCUUUGUUGGUUUCGUGGUUGGAGUAGAGCUUUCCAUGCUUAUGAUGUGCGUUUCAUCUUGUUCUUUUAGUUAUAUGAUUAUUUAGCCAAUAAUAAAUAUACUAAGGGCAACCAAUUUGAAUGUUCAUUCUUAUAUUUAUGGUGGUCCAAACAAGUUUUCAAAUGAAAUAUUAAGAUAAGAUUUGAGUGUUUAAAAAAAAUUGAUUACAUAAACAAGUUCUAAUCUAGGAUAUUAUAAGAUAGUCCAAAGGUUAAUACACAUUAUCCAAAAAAUACAAAGUGUUACAAUUGAAUAAACAAGGUUAUGCUGCAUGUCCAGCUAUUGAAAACAGAGCCUUCAAAGAAACCAUUGCCAAAAGACCAUCCUUUGGAUUGAAGCACCCUAAACCAAAUUCCCUCAUGGAACUGGUACAGCAGUCGUCCGUUCCCACUUGAAAUUGGAUUUGCCUUUGCGACCUGCGAAGAAAUAAAAGCUUAAGUCAAAAGUCUUAUCAUAAGCACUUAAAAAACUGAAGAAUAAUUAAUAAUUAAUCAGGUAAAAGCUUUGCACAGAGGACCACAAUGAACGCCCAUAAAUGUAUUUCGCUACAAGUUCAACAGUAAUGAAUCCACAAAAUAAAAAUCCCACGAAAUCUGGGAUGAGCAAAAGAUAUCCUGACAGAUUAUCCUAGGAGUUACUAGCUCAUCAUGAAGAGGAUAAGCUAC